UACGUAGGUGGCGAGCGUUGUCCGGAUUUACUGGGCGUAAAGAGCGCGCGGGCGGUCAAGUCAGUCGAAUGUGAAAGCCCCCGGCUCAACUGGGGAGGGUCAUUCGAUACUGCUCGACUUGAAGGCAGGAGAGGGAAGUGGAAUUCCCGGUGUAGUGGUGAAAUGCGUAGAUAUCGGGAGGAACACCAGUGGCGAAGGCGACUUUCUGGCCUGUUCUUGACGCUGAGGCGCGAAAGCUAGGGGAGCAAACGGG
rnacentral:rRNA from 1 species